UGGGGAAUCUUGCGCAAUGGGCGAAAGCCUGACGCAGCAACGCCGCGUGUGUGAUGAAGGCCUUCGGGUUGUAAAGCACUGUCAGGAGGGGCGAAAUGGCUUCUACUAAUACUAGGAGUCGAUGACGGUACCUCCGAAGGAAGCACCGGCUAACUCUGUGCCAGCAGCCGCGGCAAUACAGAGGGUGCAAGCGUUGUUCGGAAUCAUUGGGCGUAAAGCGCGUGUAGGUGGGCAGGUAAGUCGGGUGUGAAAGCCCCGAGCUCAACUCGGGAAUUGCGCCCGAAACUACUUGUCUUGAGUACGGGAGAGGGAAGCGGAAUUCUUGGUGUAGGGGUGAAAUCCGUAGAUAUCAGGAAGAACACCGAUGGCGAAGGCAGCUUCCUGGACCGAUACUGACACUCAGACGCGAAAGCGUGGGGAGCAAACAGG
rnacentral:rRNA from 1 species